rnacentral:rRNA from 1 species
UACGUAGGGUCCGAGCGUUUGUCCGGAAUUAUUGGGCGUAAAGAGCUCGUAGGCGGCUUGUCGCGUCGAAUGUGAAAUCUCAGGGCUCAACUCUGACAUUGCAUUCGAUACGGGCAGGCUAGAGUUCGGUAGGGGAGACUGGAAUUCCUGGUGUAGCGGUGAAAUGCGCAGAUAUCAGGAGGAACACCGGUGGCGAAGGCGGGUCUCUGGGCCGAUACUGACGCUGAGGCACGAAAGCGUGGGGAGCGAAACAGG